GACGAACGCUGGCGGCGUGCCUAAUACAUGCAAGUUGAGCGCUGAAGGUUGGUACUUGUACCAACUGGAUGAGCAGCGAACGGGUGAGUAACGCGUGGGGAAUCUGCCUUUGAGCGGGGGACAACAUUUGGAAACGAAUGCUAAUACCGCAUAAAAACUUUAAACACAAGUUUUAAGUUUGAAAGAUGCAAUUGCAUCACUCAAAGAUGAUCCCGCGUUGUAUUAGCUAGUUGGUGAGGUAAAGGCUCACCAAGGCGAUGAUACAUAGCCGACCUGAGAGGGUGAUCGGCCACAUUGGGACUGAGACACGGCCCAAACUCCUACGGGAGGCAGCAGUAGGGAAUCUUCGGCAAUGGACGAAAGUCUGACCGAGCAACGCCGCGUGAGUGAAGAAGGUUUUCGGAUCGUAAAACUCUGUUGGUAGAGAAGAACGUUGGUGAGAGUGGAAAGCUCAUCGAGUGACGGUAACUACCCAGAAAGGGACGGCUAACUACGU
rnacentral:rRNA from 1 species